rnacentral:misc_RNA from 1 species
UCGCUUUGAUUUCGCCAAAGUGUCACCGCUUUCAAUGUGGGCGUUUGUUUACCUGGUGGUGAUCGGCGCAUUGAUCGGAUACACCGCUUAUUUCUGGCUCUUGCGCCACUGCGAUCCGGCAAAGGUCGCUACCUAUGCCUACGUGAACCCGGUCGUGGCGGUGCUUCUCGGAACUUUGUUUGCUCACGAACCCUUGUCGUUGCGGACUGUGCUUGGGGCCGCUCUGAUUGUUGGUUCGGUCGCGUUGGUGAUCACGGCACAACAACUCGGUCCGAAGACCUCUCGAACAUCUGCCGCUCCGGCAGAGGCCGUUGAUUGCGCCACCUGAACCUUGCCCCCCUUGAGAAGCCAUCUCAUAAAUAGAAGGGGCCGCGUGGCUGCCGAUUUUGGCUAUGAGAUGGCUUCUAGAAAAUUGAUUGCCCUGUAGUGGCAAAUUCUGACAGCAUCUGUCAGUCCGCUCCGGCGAUGGGCGUCACGGAUUGCCGCGGCAAAACAACCAUCGGUUUAAAACUAUGAAAUACUUGUUUCAGACUUUAAUUGUCGCCGUCGCUCUCAGCUGCGUUCGAGCAUUGUCCGCUGCUGAGGAAGAUCCGGUCAAAAUUUCGCCGGAUAAAUACAAAGUGAUCCUGAAGAACCGGCAGGUGCGGGUGCU